rnacentral:rRNA from 1 species
GACGAACGCUGGCGGCGUGCUUAACACAUGCAAGUCGAACGGAAAGGCUCCAGCUUGCUGGAGUACUCGAGUGGCGAACGGGUGAGUAACACGUGGGUAAUCUGCCCUGCACUCUGGGAUAAGCCUGGGAAACUGGGUCUAAUGCUGGAUAUGACCUUUCUCCUUAUGGGGUUUGGUGGAAAGUUUUUCGGUGUAGGAUGAGCCCGCGGCCUAUCAGCUUGUUGGUGGGGUGAUGGCCUACCAAGGCGACGACGGGUAGCCGGCCUGAGAGGGUGAUCGGCCACAUUGGGACUGAGAUACGGCCCAGACUCCUACGGGAGGCAGCAGUGGGGAAUAUUGCACAAUGGGCGGAAGCCUGAUGCAGCGACGCCGCGUGAGGGAUGACGGCCUUCGGGUUGUAAACCUCUUUCAGCAGGGACGAAGCGUAAGUGACGGUACCUGCAGAAGAAGCACCGGCUAACUAUGU